GAAAUGACAACCAUUUCUUUAAGCUAUUGCAAUGGUUCUGGUGGGCUAUUGUAACCGUUUAAUUGAAACAAACAUAUUGCCCCUGUUGUAAAUAAAUAUUUACAUAUAAAAUAAAUUAUAAAACACAAAAACUUAUAUAAAUAACAAAAUGAAACUAUUCAUAAUCUAAAUUGUCCAACAAGCUAAUAAUAUCCAUAAGAGUGAAAUGUUCUACCCCAAGUACAUAACUCUUACAUUUCAAGAGUUAAAAGUAAGUUUCAAAUGUUAAUAACAAACAUUUCUAGAUCUUCACUGUCUCCGUCUUCCAUUUCUUCAUCUACUCCACCUACAAAAGAGUAUAAAUAAAGUCAUUAUCCUUCAAGAGAAUCAGGUCUAAACAUUCUCUUAGUCCAAAAAACCAAGGGAGUGCAUCAAACAAGAAUUUGAAGGGUGUUUCACUUACCUAAAGAUACGAAUAUGUGACAGUUUAUAAAAUAUUGUGCAUUAUGCAUGAAAAUAUUCAAAGAAAAGCUAGUUAUCAAACAUGUAAAACAUUAGUUCUUAUAGUCAUGUAUCACGUCCCUAGACUAGAUCAAUUGACUCCCUAGAAGUUGAUUCACAGGCUAUGCUGUAAAGAACGUAAAUGAAAUUCACUGCUCGAAGGUUUUGAUAUCAAACCCCACUGAACACACAGAUUAGUUGGUAACAGUGAAAAAUGUAACAGGGACAACAUAAAAAAGAGGAGGAGAAGAAGAAAGAGAAGAGGUAUAACAUUUGGUACGGACAUACCUUGAUUGUUACAAACAUAUGGACGAUUGUGGACAUUUUCUGCAAAUAAAUGAGUCAACCAAAUAGCUCUUAAGACCAGAAUCACAAUACGGAGCUAUUCCCAGGCUCGGAAUCCCAAACGAACAUCGAUAACAUUCAACUCUAUUAAUAAUUAAAGGGUAUAUAAAUAAACAACAAGAUCAAAGGAUUAGUCAACAAAAUACAAAGUUUCUUAUUUCUUCAACAAUGUUACCAGAAAAGUGAUGCCCAACUAAUGCUUCAACAAUGUGACAGCCAAUCAGUUGUAUAUCAUAAGGAGAAAUCAAGGUGGAUUAUAUCAGUUCCCCACCAGUAUGAUCACACAGCGUGUUCUGCUUGAGCUACAAAGUUGAAUUUUUUUUAAAACAAUGUAUAAGUAUACUAAGUUUGUACUCAUGGAGAGAAACUCGAGCAUUAUCAUGUGACUAACUGCAUUUUACAUCCUUUGCCAACAUGUGAAGGAGACAUUUUAGUUUUCCAAUUAAGCAUACUCUUUGAUUAUGGGCUUUGUGGCUAGUGUGUCUGUUCACCGAUAGUUAGCAGAGUUGAUGUGAUUUCAUCCUUCUCUAAUACCUUAUAUCAUGCAAGUUUAUACUUGUAAACAUUUGAUGUUAAGUAGUGGAAUCUCAAGCAGGGAAACUUGAAAACAUUUUCAUUUGUGUGUUCACUGUUUCUAUUUGUUCAAAUUUUGUUUGUACUAGUAGAAAAAAAAUUAUUUUUGGCUGAAUACAGUCCAGGUUAACAUGUGAGAGGCCAUGUACCCGCACACAACCAGAUUUGGAUCUGAAACCAACUGUAUUUCAAAAUCCUUUUCCAACCGCUAAGACAUAAAUUUCAGCUUUUCUUAGCCCAGAAACAGUGAAGAAUGUUAGAAGUAUGGCUAGCUAUUUGGAAAACUAAAAUUGCGCUAAAUUAUUACCAUUACCGGAUCGGAGUUCCGAUAUCUAAGAAGAUCCUUAAAGUGAUACUCCGGAACAUCUACCGGCCUAUUCUCCAUUCGAUGCUAGUCAUUCUCAUAGGCUUUAAAGUGGUUUUUCUUCAACUGAUUCUUAUACUUUCUCCAAGGAGUACGAAUUGAUUCAAAAGCCCAUAUUUUCGCAUCAUCAGGAAUAUCAUAUUUUUUCUAAAAAAUUAGUGCAAUUAGGUUAGUAUAAAACCUACUUACCUUUAUCUCUUUUACUGUUUGUAGCAAAUCGAAAACUCUAAAGGAACAAUCCUAAUCUCAUAUGUUGUAGAAAUCUAUAUAAGUUUCUUAAUACUCAAAAAGAAUAAUUUUUUUUUGAUGUAUAGGGACAGUAAUCUUGACUAUUAGAUUGACAUUAACAGUAAUUUUCUAAUCAUUUUCCUGGUCAUGCUUUUCCUUUAGAAACUUACUGAAUGAUCACUUCACGAAAAAUUAUCACACGACUUGAGCGCAAAGCUCCAAACUUGGUUGCUAAUUAAGACAAACCAAUCAUAGCUAGUAAAUAGGCAUAAUUUGACAUGUUUGAUUGCAGCUACACCUAGCAUGAAGCAAUGAUACUUCUUUCUAUAGUCGACAAUUGUUAAGGCUGCACGAUCGAGCGAAUGAAUAAUUAUUUUCUCAUAUGAUUUUGGGCAAUUCUCAUCUCAUGAAAUAAAUUUUGGAUUUGAGUGAGGUAGUACAACUAGUUUAAUUUUUUAAGCAUUUACCUUAAUACUGAAUUUAAGACUUUCAGAACCAUAUCAUGAGCCAUAACACUCUCGAGCAUUCGAAAACUCAGGAGUUGACACUCUAAAGUUAGAGCAGAUUUACCAACUCGACAAACUAGUAAUGAACGAUAAGAAAUUUUCAUAGAUUACACCCUGCCAGAAUGGCAUCUAAAUUCUACUCAAAGACCUUAUGAAGCAUAGUUUAUGCCAAUUGAUAGCAUAAAUUCAUAUACUAAUGUUUAGAGUCAAUUUCUGGAAAAAUCCAAAUAUAGAGUGAAUGCAAUACAGAAAAAUAGACUAAGAUAAGAGUGUCAAUAAUUUCAAGAUGUCUAAAGCAAACAUAACUAAAAGAUUGACCUUUUUGAAAAGUCAUCUUUGGCAGAUUAUCUACAGGAACAUUAGUUCUAAAAAUUUAGACUCACACUAGCCACACCCUAACGAAAAUAAAACCCUAACAAUUGGGGUUCAAAAAAUCAACAGAAAGCAAGAUAUUAAAUACACUACCACACCCUAAAUAUUAUAGUAAAAAAGAAUGAUUAAAGAAGAAAAUACCCAAAUUGAAAAAGAAAAACUUACAGCUAAAAUCAGUUUCUCACGGAGUGCCUUUUGCGUUGAAGAUUUUUUGCUAUAAAAAUCACCGACUGCCGAGUUCGUGGGUUGAAUAAGACGAUGCUGAGCAGAUAGCCUGAAUGUUAGCAAAACGGACAUAGAUCUUCUGGAGAUCUCUCACAGGACAACUGGAUUUGAGAGAUUUCAAAGAGUGAAAUUAAAAGGGAAAAAUGGGUCUGAGGGAUUAGAGUGAUUUGGGAAAAACCGAAAACGUAAUUGGAGAUAAGGGAAAAGUGAAAAGGGUUCAGAUUUGGGGAAAAUGUGACUGGAGCUAGAGUGAAAUGAAAAGAGGAAAAUGGGUACCAGGGAUUAGAGUAAUUGGGGGAAUACUUGAUUGGAGCUAAAGGAAAAGUGAAAAGGGUUCAGUUUUAGGGAAAACGUAAGUGGAGCUAGGCCACAUCUACUUUUAUUUAGAAAAUAAAUAAAAAUUGUGGGUUUUGACUAUCUAUUACAUAUUAAAAAUAAAAUAAAAAAGGUAAAGAGGUUUAAAGAAAGAGUACUUGAUCUGGCGGGCUAAGCGAAAAAAUUUAGGAGGGAAC
rnacentral:lncRNA from 1 species